CGUUUCAGCUUGACAGUCACCAUUUCCCUGGUAUGACGUGAAUCGAAGGGGUGUAUAAAAACCACAGCUGGUAAACAUCAACAGUUUUGUUGCCUGUUAAGUCUGGUUCUUACGUUACAUCAAAAUACCUGAGAAGUGCUGUUCUUUCUUCUGCAAGUUCCCACAAGUCUAGAAGCUACAGUUGAAAAUCCACUUGAAUUGGCAUAAUGGUAUACACAGAAUGCAACUGCUUCUGGAGCAAAAACCAUUGAUGUUUAUUGAUAUUCAAUUCAAAUGAUAGAUGUAUUGUUAUAAGGAUUAUUAAUUGUGGUGUAUAACCAUCCUCUUUUGCUUUUUGUGUCAAUGUUCUGCAUCUCUUCUUCUCUGAGUAUCUGUACUCUGCACUGUCUGCACUCUGUGGUGUACUCUAUGCACUCUCUCUCUCUGUCUCUAUUCUCCCUCUGUGAUGGCCGGAAGGGCGCAGAUAAAUGGCUGUAUGUAGCCAGUACACAUGUACAAAAAACAUACAACGGCUGAAAUAUGCUACCAAACAAAUGGCUAAAAUGUGCCGUCAAACAAAUGGCUUGAUACUACUACAAGACUACGUAUGCCUACCAGCUACGUUUACCUACCAGAUCACGUAUGCCUACCAGCGGCGUGUAGCCACUACCAGACUGCGUUGAAGCCACCAAGUUGACUCCGGUCAUGUAUUCCUUGUUUUCAUUUGAAUACAGUCAUUUCAAUUAAUGUUUAGUUUGCAGAAUAAGAUUUUAUAUCACCUGUCAUUUCUCUAAUCAUAAUUUUGGAUCUCCCUAGGCUUGUCAAGCGACACACAACCUGCUCAAAGUGGAUUGGGAGCUUAUUCAGCAAUGCGUAAAGUUCCAGGGUCUAGUUUUGUCUGGAGAGGAGGACAUGGACUGGGCUGAUAUGUCUGGAGGAAUAACCUGUUGUCACAACGAUGAGGAAUCUGAGGAGAUGGACUGGAAGUUAAGCAAUCCAAGUUUCUGGACCUGGAGGCAAAAAGGAUUUGAUGAUGACGACUAAGCACAUCUUGUCACAAUGACAUUGAUCAUCUGAUUCAAGAUACAGGUUGACGAAGGCCGGGAUGGACAGUUCAAACUUCUGCUUUCCUCUGUCACCAACCAUCUCUGGAGGAGGGGAUCCCUCGCCGAAUUGCUCCUCCCAAGGUUUCUUCCAAUUUGUUUUUCUGGGAGUUUUUCCUUGUCUUCCUUGAGGGUUUAGGUUGGUUGAGGGUCAGUUCUAUGGGCGUAUGUGAAGCCCUCUGUGGCUUUGCUUGUAAAACGUUUAUUUGUAUACGCUGUAAAUACAAGUCUGAACUUGGCCUUGCCACAAAACCUUUUCUGACACAUUUGGCUGGACGAUUGUUUGAAAUCUACAUUCUACGGUCCAUUAACUUUUAACGGACCAUGGAUGGACUGCUGUAGAUUUAACCCAAAAGUCAGAUUCCUCUCAAUGAUUUUUUCCUGGAGUUCUCUUUCCUGUUUCUGUGUGUUUUUAGGUUACCUGUGAGGACGAUGCUUGUAAAUUGUUAGACUAUAUCAAUUAGAUUAACCAGUCAAAUAGAAUUAAUAGUUGGCAAUGCCUGCCCAAAUGGAAUGCUGUGCCCCCACAAAUUACUUGGUUAAAAUAUAAAUAAGUGUAAUAAUUUUGUCUGAGUUGAUAUGAUGAUGCUUUAUAAUAAUAAAAAAAAUAAUGAAUUGUUCAUGUUCAAUCCA